rnacentral:rRNA from 1 species
UACGAAGGGGGCUAGCGUUGCUCGGAAUUACUGGGCGUAAAGGGCGCGUAGGCGGGUACUUAAGUCAGAGGUCAAAUCCCAGGGCUCAACCCUGGAACUGCCUUUGAUACUGGGUACCUAGAGUUCGGGAGAGGUGUGUGGAACUCCGAGUGUAGAGGUGAAAUUCGUAGAUAUUCGGAAGAACACCAGUGGCGAAGGCGACACACUGGCCCGAUACUGACGCUGAGGCGCGAAAGCGUGGGGAGCAAACAGGG